rnacentral:rRNA from 1 species
CCUACGGGUGGCAGCAGUGGGGAAUAUUGCGCAAUGGGCGAAAGCCUGACGCAGCGACGCCGCGUGAGGGAUGAAGGUCUUCUGAUCGGAAACCUCUGUCAGCAGGGAAGCAAGGUCCCUGUGCUAAUCAGCCGUGAAUUGACGCUACCUGCAAAGGAAGCACCGGCUCACUCCUUGCCAGUAGCCGCGGUAAUACGGAGGGUGCGAGCGUUAAUCGGAAUUACUGGGCGUAAAGCGCUCGUAGGCGGGAGGUCAAGUCAAGGGGGAAAUCCCCGCGCUCAACGUGGGAACUGCCUUUGAAACUGGCAAACUGGAGUGUGUGAGAGGAGAGUGGAAUUCCAGGUGUAGGAGUGAAAUCCGUAGAUAUCGGGAGGAACAUCAGUGGCGAAGGCGACUAGCUGGCACACAACUGACGCUGAGGAGCGAAAGCGUGGGUAGCAAACAGGAUUAGAUACCCGGGUAGUC